rnacentral:rRNA from 1 species
UACCAGCACCCCGAGUGGUCGGGACGUUUAUUGGGCCUAAAGCAUCCGUAGCCGGUUCUACAAGUCUUCCGUUAAAUCCACCUGCUUAACAGGUGGGCUGCGGAAGAUACUAUAGAGCUAGGAGGCGGGAGAGGCAAGCGGUACUCGAUGGGUAGGGGUAAAAUCCGUUGAUCCAUUGAAGACCACCAGUGGCGAAGGCGGCUUGCCAGAACGCGCUCGACGGUGAGGGAUGAAAGCUGGGGGAGCAAACCGG